rnacentral:rRNA from 1 species
AUGACUAGAGUAGGUGAGAGGGAAGUAGAAUUCCAGGUGUAGCGGUGAAAUGCGUAGAGAUCUGGAGGAAUACCGAUGGCGAAGGCAGCUUCCUGGCAUCAUACUGACACUGAGGUUCGAAAGCGUGGGUAGCAAACAGGAUUAGAUACCCUGGUAGUCCACGCCGUAAACGAUGUCUACCAGUCGUUGGGUCUCUUGAAGACUUAGUGACGCAGUUAACGCAAUAAGUAGACCGCCUGGGGAGUACGGCCGCAAGGUUAAAACUCAAAUGAAUUGACGGGGGCCCGCACAAGCGGUGGAGCAUGUGGUUUAAUUCGAUGCAACGCGAAGAACCUUACCUGGUCUUGACAUAGUAGGAAUCUUGCAGAGAUGCGAGAGUGCCUUCGGGAAUCUACAUACAGGUGCUGCAUGGCUGUCGUCAGCUCGUGUCGUGAGAUGUUGGGUUAAGUCCCGCAACGAGCGCAACCCUUUUCCUUAGUUACCAGCACUUCGGGUGGGAACUCUAAGGAUACUGCCAGUGACAAACUGGAGGAAGGCGGGGACGACGUCAAGUCAUCAUGGCCCUUACGGCCAGGGCUACACACGUGCUACAAUGGUUGGUACAAAGGGUUGCUACACAGCGAUGUGAUG